UACGUAGGGGGCAAGCGUUGUCCGGAUUUAUUGGGCGUAAAGAGCGUGUAGGCGGCCAGACAAGUCUGCUGUGAAAACUCGAGGCUCAACCUCGAGCUGUCGGUGGAAACUGUCUGGCUAGAGUCCGGAAGAGGAGAGUGGAAUUCCUGGUGUAGCGGUGAAAUGCGCAGAUAUCAGGAAGAACACCCGUGGCGAAAGCGGCUCUCUGGGACGGUACUGACGCUGAGACGCGAAAGCGUGGGGAGCAAACGGG
rnacentral:rRNA from 1 species